rnacentral:rRNA from 1 species
UACGUAGGGGGCAAGCGUUGUCCGGAAUCAUUGGGCGUAAAGAGCGUGUAGGCGGUUCAGUAAGUCCGCUGUGAAAGUCAAGGGCUCAACCCUUGAAUGCCGGUGGAUACUGUUGAACUAGAGUCCGGAAGAGGCGAGUGGAAUUCCUGGUGUAGCGGUGAAAUGCGCAGAUAUCAGGAGGAACACCAAUGCGAAGGCAGCUCGCUGGGACGUAACUGACGCUGAGACGCGAAAGCGUGGGGAGCAAACAGG